rnacentral:rRNA from 1 species
GAUGAACGCUGGCGGCGUGCUUAACACAUGCAAGUCGAACGGUGAAAGAGAGCUUGCUCUCUGGAUCAGUGGCGAACGGGUGAGUAACACGUGAGCAAUCUGCCCCUGACUCUGGGAUAAGCGCUGGAAACGGCGUCUAAUACCGGAUACGAGCUGCGAAGGCAUCUUCAGCAGCUGGAAAGAACUUCGGUCAGGGAUGAGCUCGCGGCCUAUCAGCUAGUUGGUGAGGUAAUGGCUCACCAAGGCGUCGACGGGUAGCCGGCCUGAGAGGGUGACCGGCCACACUGGGACUGAGACACGGCCCAGACUCCUACGGGAGGCAGCAGUGGGGAAUAUUGCACAAUGGGCGCAAGCCUGAUGCAGCAACGCCGCGUGAGGGACGACGGCC